GCACGGGUUUGGAUUUAUGGCAGAUCUGUCCCCUGGGCCUCUCAUAGUGUCCUUUGCCAGAGCAAACUGCGACCCGAACCAUUGCCUGGCUGGGUCACCUGCCUGUGGGCUAUAGGCACUGAAGUGGGUUGCACAGUG